AGUGAACGCUGGCGGCAGGCCUAACACAUGCAAGUCGAACGGCAGCACAGUAAGAGCUUGCUCUUACGGGUGGCGAGUGGCGGACGGGUGAGGAAUACAUCGGCAUCUACUUUUUCGUGGGGGAUAACGUAGGGAAACUUACGCUAAUACCGCAUACGACCUACGGGUGAAAGCAGGGGAUCUUCGGACCUUGCGCGAUUGAAUGAGCCGAUGUCGGAUUAGCUAGUUGGCGGGGUAAAGGGCCACCAAGGCGACGAUCCGUAGCUGGUCUGAGAGGAUGAUCAGCCACACUGGAACUGAGACACGGUCCAGACUCCUACGGGAGGCAGCAGUGGGGAAUAUUGGACAAUGGGCGAAAGCCUGAUCCAGCCAUGCCGCGUGGGUGAAGAAGGCCUUCGGGUUGUAAAGCACUUUUGGUGGGAAAGAAAAGCAGCAGGUUAAUACCCCGCUGUGAUGACGGUACCCGAAGAAUAAGCACCGGCUAACUUCGUG
rnacentral:rRNA from 1 species